AAAACAUGAAAAAUAAUUGUAACCUUAAUAUGCCAUGUUAGGCGUGUAAAAACAAAUUAUUUAAUAACAACACUGUGUACAAAGAAUAAUUAAGAAGUAAAUCGUUAAACAUGUUUUUUUAUAUAUAUUUAAAAAAAAUAACAAUAAUAAUAAUGACCUAUGUGAAUAAAUAAAUAAAAAAAAAAAAAAACCAAUAAUUUUAAAUAAUAAUAUUUGUAUAUCUAAAAAAGCCUCCGGGAUUGAGGUCGUCAUUUCUUGUGUAUGUUUUUGUUUUUGUUUCUGUUUUUUUUUUUUUUAUCAAUAUUUUAUAUGUACUAUAUAUAUAUAUACAUAUAUAUAUAUAUUAUAUAUAAUAAUAUUGUAUACUAUUAUUAUGUAACAUGACUAUAACCAGUUAAAAUACAUUAUGACG